rnacentral:rRNA from 1 species
CGGGUUAAUAUUCCCGAACUCGGACGUGGAUAUCGGUGCUUGCACCAGAUGCGGUAACGCAAACGAACCCGGAGACGCUGGCAGAAGCCCUGGGAAGAGUUCUCUCUUCUUUUGUUAGGGACGAAUUCCGUGGAAUCGCUUCGCGCGGAGAUACGGAUGAUGUUCCCGUAAAGCAUCGCGGUUUUGCGGUGUCCGGUGCGCUUCUUCUGGCCCUUGAAAAUCCGGGUAAGAGAUUGAUUUUCACGCCGAAUCGUACCCAUAUCCGCAGCAGGUCUCCAAGGUGAACAGCCUCUAGUCUUUGAACAAUGUAGGCAAGGGAAGUCGGCAAAUUAGAUCCGUAACUUCGGGAAAAGGAUUGGCUCUAAGGGCUGGGCCGUUCGAGCUCCGGUUAGAAGCGAUGGUCGAUGCGUAGGAACUGGGUAAACUGAUCGCAAGGUUGGUGAACUCGGACCUUAGUCAUUGUGCUGCCGUGGAAGGCCGAAGCUACGUCGUGUGAUUCUUCGCGGGAUUGCCGAUUUCGGGCGGCGCUAAGCAGCCAACUUAG